rnacentral:lncRNA from 1 species
AUCAAAUGAGAUCAGUGGUGGAGCCACCUCACGCGAAGGAAUGUCUCCAGAAAAUUACACUGUUUAGCUAUACAUUACAACAAUUCCCAUAUGGAAAAGUGCCAAAAAUAUUACUCUAUGAGAUAGAAGAGAACACCAGUGUAGUAUUUAAUCAUACAAGACUAACUUCUUCCGAAAUAACAUAAUGUUGUGAGGAAAAAAGAAUCAAGUCAAAUUCAUUAUGUUUACUUUUCUUUUCUUGUUUUCAGAGAGACGAGUUACAUACUUGAUCACUACUACAUACAGAAUAAUACAAUGAUUUUUAAAAUAACAUAGAAGAAUAUUGAAAACUACCUGUAUUUGAUCAUUUCAGGAAAAAUUAGAACAUCUCCAUCCGAUAGCCCAAUGUCUUCUUCACGUACUUCGCAAAUCGUCAAAACAGUCUACCACAAACAAUCACCCAGCAACAAACACGUUAACCUCAAUAUCACACUUGAAAAGCUAACAUAGUAAAACUACAGACAGCAUUCUAAUUGAUCAUCGAAGUGGAAUUCUCAUAUUGUGUGCUAAUAAUUCAUCCAAUAUGCAUUUAAAAAGCUAAUAAAGUAAACCUACUAAUUGUGCACUCAAAUCAAUCAGCUAACAAUUCUUAUACUGUGUUAUACUUUGAACAUUUCGUGUCCCUAGAAGUUACAAACAAAUGCUCAACAACGUUAUGAGUUAAGAGUCAAAAGACACGUAAAGUAUCCCCGUUUUUGAGUUUCAUACCGAACUAUCAAGUGUGUGAGUUUCAUACUUGAACUAUCACCAAAUGUUUAUUGAAACACACCUCAACUAUUCAAUAAACAUUUGGUGAUAGUUCAAGUAGGAAACUCAAAAAACCCGAAUACUUUAGGUGUACUUUUGACUCUUCACUCAUAAUGUUCUAUACAAUACCGAAAUUUAGUAUCGAUAUGCUAAUUUCUGAAAAAUCCAAUAGAGGUGAAGUUCAUCAAAUGUCUAUUGAAACAGGCCACAACUAUUCGAUAAACAUUUGGUGAUAGUUGAGGUGUGUUUCGAUAUUUAGUAAUAAUUUAAGUAGAAAACUCACACUUAAUAGUUUAGGCAUGCCGAGAUAAUUUAGGCGUAUUUUUAACUCUCCACUCGAAUGCUAUCAAAAAUGCCAAAAUUUAUAGCCGAUUUUGCUAACAUCUGAACCAGAAACUCAGUCCAACAGAAACGAAGUUCAUCACUAACGUCGUUGACUCAAGUGGCCACACUUAACUAUAUUCAAAACACAAGUCCACAAAACAUUUUCAAGUCACUUAUUCACUUCUCAAGUGACCACACUUAACUAAAUUCAUUCACUUCUCAAGUGACCACACUUUACUAAAAUAAAACACAAGUUCACAUUUCAAGUACUUAAAUUCAAAACAAAAUUCACUAAUUCAUAAUUCAAGUAACUACACUUAAACACUUCAAGUCACUAAUUCACUUCCCAAGUUACCAAACUAAACUAAAUUCAAAAUGAAAAGUUUACAUUUUGAGUGUCUACACUUAUUCACUUCUCAAGUGACCACACUUAACUAAAUUCAAAACACAAAUCCACAUUUCAAGUACCUACACUUAAACAUUUUCAAGUCACUAACUCAAUUAUCAAGUGACCACACUUAACUAAAUUCAAAACACAAGUCCACAUUUCAAGUACCUACACUUAAGCAUUUUCGACUCACUAACUAACUUCUCUAGUAACCACACUUAACUAUAUUCAAAACACAAGUCCACCUUUCAAGUAACUACACUUAAACAUUUUCGACUCACUAACUCACUUCUCUGGUGAUCACACUUAACUAUAUUCAAAACACAAGUCCACCUUUCAAGUAACUACACUUAAACAUUUUCGACUCACCAAUUCACUUCUCAAAUGACCACACUUAACUAAAUUCAAAACACAAGUNNNNNNNNNNNNNNNNNNNNNNNNNNNNNNNNNNNNNNNNNNCUUCUCAAGUGACCACACUUAACUAAAUUCAAAACACAAGUGACCACACUUUAGUAAAUUCUACACAUUCAUGACAAACACAUUGUCUUACACAAAGAAACAAAAGCAAUAAAUCCUAUGAAAACAACCCUUAAUUACGGUAAUUGAUUAUGCGCCAAAGGAACUAGCACAAAGGAAACAACCUCCAUUCAUAAAACUGCUAAUUGUAUGCAGACACUAACACAAAGGAAAACUUAGGGCAACUAGUUUUUCAACUAGGUUUCUCAAAAUGAAUAAUCUCUAUAUACAACAAAAAGGAAAAAGCAGGAUACCAUACUGAAAAAAGUGAAUUAGUUAAAGUUAAUACCAUAUCAAGAUUGACAUAAAGCAUUAAUGACUUUUACUAUUUUGUCAUUUGACUACAUAAUCCACAUUAAGCAAACUAAGAAAGAUAAUUAAUGCUACAUUAUAAUAGAAAACCUAGAAAGGAAAACAAGGAACCUUACUAACUCUGCAGCAAUAGAUCUGUAAAAGAAUUUUAAAACCACAAAGUAUUUUCUUGAAAAGCUCAUUUUGCACAAUUCAAUAAUGCAAGCCUCUUAGUUUUACAAGAACUCAGAUCCAACAUACUUACUUGAAUAAAAUUUAGCAAUGAUGGCCACACACAAACAAAUUUGAGAACAUAAGAAAAACAGUCACCUUUCCCCUAAACUGGUGAAGCAAGAAAUACCUCAACUGGCAUCGGCGGUGUUGGCAUGGUUGAUGUUGGGAGGCGGCGCGGGUGCUCUUCCGGCUGAAAUUGCGGCUGGCUCGGAGGCAUCGGGUUUUCUCCGGCUAGGGAAGAGAAGAGGGAGCCGGGAAGAGGGGACGGGGCGGCAUCGGGUUUCUCAGCGGCGGCGGCAGCCAUUGAUGGUUAAAGAGAGGUAGAGAGAGAGAGGGAUGCAAAGAGGGAGGUGACACAAAAGUAGAAUUAAUAAGGGUGAAAGUUCAAAUUUCAUUUAAGUUAUGAUUAAGUUAAU